rnacentral:rRNA from 1 species
GAGAAAGUCACCUUCGGGUGGCGAGUAAAGCGGCGCACGGGUGAGUAACGCGUGGGUAAUCUACCCAAGGGUCUGGAACAACACCGGGAAACUGGUGCUAAUGCCGGAUAAGACCACGACGACUUCGGUCGAUGCGGAAAAAGGUGGCCUCUUCUUGAAAGCUACCGCCCCUGGAUGAGCCCGCGUCCCAUUAGCUUGUUGGUGAGGUAACGGCUCACCAAGGCUCCGAUGGGUAGCUGGUCUGAGAGGAUGAUCAGCCACACUGGAACUGAGACACGGUCCAGACUCCUACGGGAGGCAGCAGUCGGGAAUUUUGGGCAAUGGGCGAAAGCCUGACCCAGCAACGCCGUGUGAGGGAUGAAGGCCUUCGGGUCGUAAACCUCUGUCAGGAGGGAAGAAAGGUCGUCGUUCGAAUAGGACGGGGGCUUGACGGUACCUCCAAAGGAAGGACCGGCUAACUCCGUGCCAGCAGCCGCGGUAAUACGGAGGGUCCAAGCGUUGUUCGGAAUUACUGGGCGUAAAGCGAGCGUAGGCGGCUGC